UGGGGAAUUUUCCGCAAUGGGGGCAACCCUGACGGAGCAACGCCGCGUGGGGGAGGAAUGUCUGUGGAUUGUAAACCCCUUUUCUCAGGGAAGAAGUUCUGACGGUACCUGAGGAAUCAGCAUCGGCUAACUCCGUGCCAGCAGCCGCGGUAAGACGGAGGAUGCAAGCGUUAUCCGGAAUUAUUGGGCGUAAAGCGUCCGUAGGCGGUUUUUCAAGUCUGCCGUUAAAGACCACAGCUUAACUGUGGGCCGGCGGUGGAAACUGUUGAACUGGAGUACGGUAGGGGUAGAGGGAAUUCCCAGUGUAGCGGUGAAAUGCGUAGAUAUUGGGAAGAACACCAGUGGCGAAGGCGCUCUACUGGGCCGUAACUGACGCUGAGGGACGAAAGCUAGGGGAGCGAAAGGGAUUAGAUACCCCCGUAGUCC
rnacentral:rRNA from 1 species